ACACGUAAACAACCUAGCCUUCAGGAUGGGGACAACAGACGGAAACGACUGCUAAUACCGAAUAAGUUCCAAGAGCCGCAUGGCCCAUGGAAGAAAAGGUGGCCUCUACCUGUAAGCUAUCGCCUGAAGAGGGGUUUGCGUCUGAUUAGCUGGUUGGAGGGGUAACGGCCCACCAAGGCGACGAUCAGUAGCCGGUCUGAGAGGAUGAACGGCCACACUGGAACUGAGACACGGUCCAGACUCCUACGGGAGGCAGCAUG
rnacentral:rRNA from 1 species